AAACAUUAUUAAGAAGAUAACAAUGAAAUACAGAAUAUUGGGACUUUUCGACACAAAAUCUAAACAGCACGAUUGCGCUGCUUGGGACUCAAACGGUUAAAUAUUUUCAACGGAAGAAACAACUCUAAAUCGUUGAACUGUUCGAUCCUGGCUAAGAGAUUGAAGCUCCUUGUCUCUCGCUGCGUUUUAAGUUGUACGAAACGCAUAAAUUUUAGCAUGGCCGAUUUUAUAUCUCCUCCGUCGACGACACUAAUUAAAAAAAAAUCUAAUUUUCUAAACUUUCGUAUAUCUCUUUUACAAAUGAUAAUAAUUUUCCAAAUUUUCAUCCUAUCUAGUACGACCUGGCAAAAGCGCCCACAUUCGCCAAUACAAGUCUUGGACUUCCGCACAGUAAAAUCGGUCACGGCGGUCCAUUGGAAGCAGGCAGCAGGGAAGACAAGGCGCGUUUAAAAUGCGUCCGACAUCGGUAGCUGGCGGCGUUAUCGGAAUUAAGUAACCGAUGAUUCACGUUCCGCCAUGAAAUACAAACAAUGGUAUCGGAAUAACGACACGUCCCGCCUCUCUCAUCGCUCGGCUAUCUUGACCAACUUAUUUGCAUACCGGGCGGACCGACCGGUCGGCAGCCACCGCGAGAGCUGAAUUUACACUUGAGAAGCCGCUCGAAUUAUCGUUUGACAAAUUUCUUAGAAAAUUGUCUCGUACACCGGGUCAGCCGGCCACUCGUGAUGCUAAUUUAUGUGUGGCGGAAGCAUCAUUAUGCGUGCCACGUAUAUAUACCUGCUACCCGUAUAUAUGUGUAUAUGUGCAUACAGGGUGUCCCAGAGUUUAACAAAUUUAGUAAAUUCUAAGGUUAUAAGGCCAAUUUUAAGGUCAUAAUUAUAAAAUGUUAUAUGUGUAAAAAUAUAGUGGCUUGUGUUAGUAUUUGAACAUCUUUUUUUUUAAUACGUCUUACGUUUGCAAUAAAUAUUUUGUAAUUUCUAUGUAAGUUUCCAGAUUGGUUUGAAAUUUGUCCAACAUAACCGUGACAAUUGUCUCGUCACUAUUCGUGAAAUUUCGAAAUGUUUUUAUAAUAUAUUAUAUAAUAUAGGGUGAUCCAGAGUUUGGCAGCUAAAUUUUGUUACAACUUUGCGUGAGCAUUUCUAUAGUAAUACACAAUACAGUAAUAAAUUCAACUUUUCUUGUGAAUUAUAUAUUAACAGCCAAAGAUUACGCUGAUUAUAAAUCUAUUCUUGUCUUAUAGCAUGAUAAUCCUGAUGAGUCCGUCAUCGUUCCUUUUGCAUUUCCUAUUUUUAUUACAACUUUUCGAUAAAGCUUCGAAUAAGCUACGUUUAUAAAAUACUUUUUGCCGGAUUACACUCAUAGAAUACAUCUACCGAAUUUUAAAUCCUGGUACACCGUGUAUGUGUCUAUAUAUGACAACAUACUGGCGUGACGCAUAUUCUCGAAAGACGGGGUCUAGUAAGCUCUCGAGCAUAAUUCAACGGGUGAAUGUUGACUAUAUCCAUGGAAAUGCGGCUUUUCAGCGUUUCACAGCCACUUGGACAGGGAAAAUUGGAAAUUUAAGAUGACCUACUACCUAAAUGACAAACCAAUUAUCUCCUAUAAGCUUAAUCCUUUCAAAGUCUCAAUUAGCGUGGUAUUCAGAUAUUUCCUUCUUUUUUUUCUUGUAGAAAUUUAUUCGCUCGUGGUAUGCAUUUACCAUUAAUUUGGAUUAUUCAUCGUGUUUACAGGAAGCCCUAGCUGACCUACCUCAUGCAGCUGGAACCUAUUUUCCUCGAACGAGAAAACUCGGUGAACAAUACAGUCGGAGGCAAAAAUAAGUUAAAUAGGUGGUGGAAAUAAGGUAUCGACGACGUUUCGUUAAAUACGGUCUGUUUACACAGAUGUAAACGAGACGUACGUACCACAGCAUAUACAGUAGCGGGUAAAAGGAAAUUUAAACGUAAGUAGUACAAUAGACACCACAAUUUUACAAGACAGAUUGUAUUUGAGAAGAAAAGCGACUAAAUAUAAUAUGAAACUCUAGAACAGUCAACAACAUGCUGUAAAAUAGACAGAAAAGUCAUUAAUAUACUCGUAUACACAAAAUUACUUUCGAAUAAUUAUUUAUAAUUACUAACAGUUCUUGAAAUUAUUAACUAUUUAACGAAUUUUAAACUUCCUUUUGCCGGCUGCUUUGUAAUAAAUGAAACUUAAUUAUAUCAGUACAAUAUAACGUUAGGACUAAUUCGAUGAAACUUCAUUGAUACCUACCUUCCGCUAUCUGUUCAAUUAUUUUUGUCUCCGACUGUAUCUCGGACACAGAAAGGACGACGGAAGAAGGCGAGCGCACCGGUUACGUUACAGGGUAAUUUAUCAGAGCACAAGAUCUUCCGGUUACUGGUAGUGGCAUGUAAUAACGAAGACGACGACGACGACGACGACGAAUACACCGCCUGGAUUGUAUUUGUGUAAUGGUUACAUCGCGGACGAAAAAUCUGUAUGGAACGCGAACGUCGGUGCGGCAAGUUGUGUGCCAGAGAAGGUAGAAGAGCAAAGAGCCGUAGAGAGUGACAAAUUUUACGAGAGACCGGG